rnacentral:lncRNA from 1 species
GAUGUGCACUCUAAAAGUCUUAUGUGCAGUCGAGAGAAGUCAGCUGUGCUGUUGACAGUUGGGACGUACUUCGACAGGCAUUCCGUAAUUAGCAGCGAUUUGGUGCUCAGUCCCGUUCAGCGCGAUGAGGUUCUUCGUGUCCGUUGCACUGCUGCUCGUCCUCUGCAUCGUGGUGAACCGCCAAGUCGCGGCGCUCCCUGGCGGACCAGCGCCCGGAAAUGCCUCCGUGCCAGCCGUGAGGGAGAGAGAAGCCGAGGUCUGCGAUCCUACCCAGAAGCAGUGUGGCCCGUACUGCUGCAAUAGUUAUCAAAUCUGUUUGAAGCUACCCUGCAUCGUUGUACCCGAUUGCCUCCUUAUAUCCAUCUGCAUUGGCUGAGCUUACGGGGCAUUUUACUCGUGACUUGUGGCGGGAGGCAGAAACAGAAGUGAGAAUUUACCGCCGAUCUUGGUUCGACAGAAGUAUUAAAAUUUCACUGGGUGUUUUCCAAAAUGCAUUUGCUUGCGUGGCAGCGUGAUUCUCCCAAGCGCUCACACCAAGUGCAAAUUUGUAAUGUUUAAACAAAUGUUCAAAACACUCUUAUUUACGCUUUGUAAGUUUCCGCUGAAGUGGUUCAAGUAGGUAAAGGGUUCCAAGCUUUCAUGAGGUCUGGUCUCAAUCUUUGUCAAAGAAACUUUGUGCGUUUGCUGUAGCUGUAAUAAAAUGGAAAAGUGACUGUUACACCACUGAGAAACCAAACGCUAUGAAUAAUUGGUGCAAUGCUUGGGCAUUGCACAUGAAAUGCAAUGGCGUAGGUACCUCAAGCAUGCAUAAGCAUAGGGCAGUUUCGGGAUGCAUUGCACGUAUGGUGCCAUAUCUCAGUGCAUUGCACCAUGCGUGCUAUUUCAUAGCGUUUGGAAUCUCAGUGAUGCCACCCAGCACGUCCGGCAACCAAAAAAUGAAUAUUUAAUGUACCCAAAACCCUUUAUCUCCAGAAAAAAAUUUGUGUUCAAAUGAUGUUUAACCUAACCUGACAUAUUCGGCCUUAAAACGCAUGCACAAUUUUGAGCAAAGCAAAGGCACGAAAAACUAAGUAAUAAAGUGUGUAAGGGUGGUUUCAUCGCCCAAAUUUAAGCAAUGAAGGAUGCAUCGGUUUAUCUUCAAACCGCAUGUUAAAAUGAGCAAUAGUAAAGAAACUCGCGCUGCUCGCUGGGGGCUCCGCCCCCAGACCCCCGCAUGUGUGGGGCGCGUACCGAAGUAUUUUUACUAAGUCCGUGGUGACCAAAGGGAAAUUUUCUAAUGAAGUAACUGUACUGCUUUUUGGAAGGGUCUAUUUAACUGCUUUUGACCAUUAAUUUUUAAGGUACUAUUACUGCCCAAAUAGAUAGCUUGUAUUGUAUUGGCUACUGUGGCAGUCAACGGCAUUCAAGGUCCGGAAAAUAUUGAAGACUGCUUUGACAAGAAUAAGAUCUGUGUUCAUUAUGGUCAAUGUGACCGAAGGCCAAACUAAUGGGCCUCUUUUGCGUCUUUCAUUUCUGAUUUCUCCGGCAAUAUAUUACAUGGCUUUUACUGCUCGGAAACGGUUGUAUUUUGUUCAAUUUAGGCCUAUUUCAUCGUUUUGAGGAUGUUGCCGGUGACGGGAACCCGAUUGCGGCACAGUUUCGGAAAUGUCACGACCAGACCUACCGAUGGGGCGAAUAAAAU